rnacentral:rRNA from 1 species
AGAGUUUGAUCCUGGCUCAGGAUGAACGCUGGCGGCGUGCUUAACACAUGCAAGUCGAGCGAGAAAAGUUCUUCGGAGCUUUUCUAGCGGCGGACGGGUGAGUAACACGUGGGCAACCUGCCUCAUAGAGGGGAAUAGCCUUCCGAAAGGAAGAUUAAUACCGCAUAAUAUUGUUGAAAGGCAUCUUUUAACAAUCAAAGGAGCAAUCCGCUAUGAGAUGGGCCCGCGGCGCAUUAGCUAGUUGGUGAGGUAACGGCUCACCAAGGCGACGAUGCGUAGCCGACCUGAGAGGGUGAUCGGCCACAUUGGAACUGAGACACGGUCCAGACUCCUACGGGAGGCAGCAGUGGGGAAUAUUGCACAAUGGGGGAAACCCUGAUGCAGCAACGCCGCGUGAGUGAUGAAGGUCUUCGGAUUGUAAAGCUCUGUCUUUAGGGACGAUAAUGACGGUACCUAAGGAGGAAGCCACGGCUAACUACGUGCCAGCAGCCGCGGUAAUACGUA